AAUAAUUCUUAGUAAAUACAAUUCCUAUGUGUAAUACGAUGGCGGACAUUGAAGACAGAGAACAGGGGUUAUGUGACUGUUGUAUUUUACUAUUGAACUUCUACUGAAGAUAUUUUACCGUGUUAACUUUUUAUUGGCAUCGUUGUAAGUUUAUCAGACAUUAUAAUAGAAAAUAAAUCAUUUCUUGAAAUUUCAUUUGAUAACAAAUGCAUCGAGAAUAAUAUCGUCAAGCUUCGUUUCUACAUUUACACAUAAAUUUUAAUAAAAUUUCUUGUAAUUAUACUGGGUUCAAGGCAGAAGCCUCCAUGACUGAUCAGCUGAUCGAACGAUAGGAAGAAAACAGAACGAGACACGUGCCUUGUUAUCAUCCGCAGGCGGUUUUGAUAAAAGGUUUAUUGUGUUUCAUCGACCAAGCUGCUUGUUGCGUUUAAUUUCACGUUAGUUUCUCAGGUUCGUCGCGAGAUGGCGUUAGUUAUACACAUGAAACGAACAAAACGUUAACGUACCGGCACGCUUUACUCUUAAGCAUGUAAUUCUCUGUCCUUUUUAUUAUUAUUAUUUUCCUUUUGUUAAUUAUACAACAUUUUCGUCGUUCCGCCUUUGCAUUACCAUCGAACAACAUCAAUCACGCAGAGAGACGCUAUUCGAGGGAUUAUAAAUCGUACGAAGGAUCGAGGAUAUCGAUGCCAAGCUCCUACGAACGCCAGUUCAGGAAAGCAGCAAACCAACCAACCAACCAACCAAGCAAGCAAGCAAGCAAGCAAGAAAGCAAGCAAGCCAGUCAACCAGCAAGCCAGCGAUCGUGACCGAACCCGAGAGAUGGUAAUGCAGUUGAGAUAGCGCGCGAGCGCGCGUAACACGGCAGCCAAAACUUUCCCCGGCGCCGCGGCCGCCGUAGUCGCGGACGUCGUCGUCGUCGUCGUCGUCGUCGUCGACGACGAACAGCCGGUAUAUCUCAUCGCUACGGCAUUUCUACUGCUGCUUCCCUGUCUACUUCGGCCUUCGAAAGUAUCAAGGAGCGCGUCCUUCCCUUGCGUAGGAACGAGGACGAAGAAACAGAAGAAGACGAAGAAGAAGACGAAGAACAAGAAGAGCAAGAGGAAAAAGAAGUAAAAGACGAAGACGAAG